rnacentral:rRNA from 1 species
AACGAACGCUGGCGGCAUGCCUAACACAUGCAAGUCGAACGAGACCUUCGGGUCUAGUGGCGCACGGGUGCGUAACGCGUGGGAAUCUGCCCUUGGGUUCGGAAUAACAGUUAGAAAUGACUGCUAAUACCGGAUAAUGUCUUCGGACCAAAGAUUUAUCGCCCAGGGAUGAGCCCGCGUAGGAUUAGCUAGUUGGUGAGGUAAAGGCUCACCAAGGCGACGAUCCUUAGCUGGUCUGAGAGGAUGAUCAGCCACACUGGGACUGAGAUACGGCCCAGACUCCUACGGGAGGCAGCAGUGGGGAAUAUUGGACAAUGGGGGCAACCCUGAUCCAGCAAUGCCGCGUGAGUGAUGAAGGCCUUCGGGUUGUAAAGGACUCUUUGUCCGGGGACGAUGAUGACGGUACCCGGACGGAAUAAGCCCCGGCCUAACUUCGUGCCAGCAGCCGCGGUAA